rnacentral:rRNA from 1 species
CUGCUGCCUUCCGUAGGAGUCUGGGCCGUGUCUCAGUCCCAAUGUGGCCGUCCACCCUCUCAGGCCGGCUACUGAUCGUCGCCUUGGUAGGCCGUUACCCUGCCAACCAGCUAAUCAGACGCGGGCCCAUCUCGCACCACCUGGGUUUUCAGGGCAGGGGCAUGCGCCCCCGCCCGCUAUGCGGUGUUAGCACCUAUUUCUAAGUGUUAUCCCCCAGUGCGAGGCAGGUUGCCCACGCGUUACUCACCCGUCCGCCACG